rnacentral:lncRNA from 1 species
GUUGUUGUGGGCACAUCGUCAAAGGUGCACAGCCGGCCCGCCCUUUAGAGCCGCGGUCCACGUCCCUACAACCGCACGGCCAAAGUCGGGGUCCGCAGGACGCCAUGGCCAUGCGGGUUCGAGGGACAGGCUUCCCUUCCGUCCAGUCCCACUGGGGCUUCCUGAGCAUCUGCCCUGCACUCAAACGUGACUCGAGCGGGCUUCAGGUUUGUGAAAGGCUUCACCUCUGAGGCUGGACCUCUCGGGAGGGAGUUCCACGGCCCAACAACCCACAGCCACGGACGGCCAGUGGCUCCUGCCCACCCUCACGGCCCCCAGCCCCCUGCCUGGAACGUCACCUCCCUGCCUCUCACAGCCCAGAAUACCCUCCAGGGACCACCGCAGGCCCCAGGUAGCUGCAGGGGACGUGGAGGAGACCCAAGAGGUGUGCGUGCUCAUCCCCAACGUCCGAGGGGGCGCUGGGGCCCAGCAUUUCUCGGGCUGAGGGCUCUGCCAGGCUGAGGGCGGGUCCAUAACUGGGGGAUGGCAGGGGGUGCGGUGAAGGAGCCCGCGCAAACUGUGGACACUCAAGCUUGAUCUUGGCCCUCAGAGCCAGGAUCCUCCUUUAAACGGAUGACGGCCUUGCCCCCAGGUUCCGGGCAGAGCAGAGGGACCUGAGACCCGGGGCAGGGGGACUCACACAGCCCCAGGCUGGACUCUUUUUGGAAGCAAGUAACAGAACCAACUCUAGCUUCAGCCAAAAAAUAAAGGGAGACGGGGGGAGGUGGGGGAAGGUAUGGAGGGAGGGAGGGCGGCAGGGCUGUCACAGAGCUGCAGGCGGGUGCUCGGGGCUCAGGAGCCGAGAACCGGGCACCAUGGGAACCCCGGACUGGCCAGUGCCCACGCUCCUCUCGGGUCUCCGCCUUGUGCUGUGGAUGGAGCGUUUCACGGCAGAAUAAACGGCUGCCACAUGAUCCUGGAUUUCUGAACAACCAGCCCAGUCACAAGCAGAGACUCGUCCUUCGUUCAAACUCCCGGUGAGGACACCGUGCCACCUGGCCAGGGUCAGGAGCUCACAGGGCAUGAAGACAUCACUCUGCUGUGACCAUGUGCGCAAGGCAUGCGGUGGAGGGAGACCUCCGCUGGGUCCCCUGAGCCUGGAAAAGCACAGCUCCAGGCCUGCUCCAUGGGGGCUUCUGAGGGGAAUCCAGCCCUCGAAGGCUCAGGCCAGGCCGGGCAAGCUGGCGUGGUCACAGGCCUUCCAGUCCUCAGGCUGCGGGCCGCCCCCUCAACCCGUGGCCAGGCAGGCUCCGCCGGCCAGUCUAAUGAGAAGGCCCAGCCCCGAAGGCGCAGAGGCUCCCGCGAGCCCCUCGGCCGGUCAGCGGGCCGCCCCGCGGACCAGGCAGCUCUUCCCACUUGGAGCUCGAGCUGUGGUUUCUCUUUACGCCAAGAAAAGUCUCCCAGGCUCCCUGCCGGAGCCUCCGCAGGCGCACGGGGAGGGGAGGAAGUGCACACGCAGCACUUGGCUGCCUCCCGGUGCAGAGUCACCGCUUCCCGGCCUGAGUGGGCCCCAGCCGAGGGAGGGACCUGCCUGGCUCGCAGGGACCCCAGAACAGAGGUUAAUUCAGGUGAAGGCGGCACAAGCGUGGAGCCGCGCCCUGGCCGAGCCUCGCUGGCUGGCCCUGCAGGACCGUCGCGGCUCUGCAGCCUGGCCUGAAGGCUCUGGGUGCUGCUCUGUUUUCAGCAGUCAAGGCCUGAUGAUUCAACAGACAGUUAAGAAACAGUGGAUUCCCGUCCAAGUCGUUUUCUGGGGCACGGAGGGCUUAGGAGAAAUUCCUUCUGCUUCACCCCCUGCUGCUGAAAAUAUCUCUGGACUCCGAGCGCUCUGGGCAGUAUUGGUCAGGGGACGGCAUCGGGAGCUCAAUGACACCCCUGUGGAUCUCAGUCUCGGGGAGGCCCCUGACUUCGCUCCAGCCUCAUCCCCUUGUAAAGUUCCUGAAAGGGCUGCAAGAGCACCUCCUCCCUCCGUGUCCCAUGUGCACUCAGCCAGGCAGACCUGGGUUCCAGCUCCAGGCCGCCGUAUACUGUGAGGCCUUGGGCGAGUGGCUCAGCCUCUCUGUGUCAGACUUCUCGUCAGCACAAAGAGGGUGACAUUGAGGGGACCCACCUGUGGGGACUGUGAGGAGAAAAGGUGACACAGCCUGCUCCCCUCCUGGUAGGGGUGUGAACCGGCUCUGUCUGACCCUGUGACCUCAGCCGUCCACCACCAGCUGCCUCUCCAGGGCCACUAAGAAAGCCUUGGGGGUGGGGUCUCCAUCCACCCCGAGUCUUACAGGCAAAGAAGCCGAGGGGGCAGGCACCACAGAGACCCCUGAGACCCCAUCUCAGAAAAACUGGAAAUCUGAUUCCACAUGUGUUUGGGAGUUGCUUGGGGUUGGGGGUUGAGGGUGACAGGGGACAGCUCUGGAAUAAAGGAGAGGUGGUCCUCAGCGUUGUCCUGCACACUGGCCCCUGUGCAGCGGAGACCGCGUGCUUGUGGGGGUAGGGGGUGGGGCCUGCUGAUCGUUCUGCUCUUCUGGCCAAGUGCUUUUCUGUCAAUUUUUAUGAAAUGCAAAAGGAGUUUUUUGUUUUAUUCUGUUUUUUUUGUAAAGCUUAAAAACACAUCUACAUCUUAUACUUGAGCUUCCAUACUUUAAAAUAAAGGAAAAAAAAGAACAAAAAUAAAUAAAUAAAAAGAAACCCAUCUCAGGCUCGGUCAGCAGAGCUACAACGGAACUCGCCCGGCCUCCCCCGGGGUGAGGCUCCCCCCGCACAGUCACAGCAGCCCCAGCAUGACCACUGCUCGCCAGCUUCCGUACACAGCAGCUGACUUCCACAUCUCACUGGGCACCGACUCGGCGCCACGCCCUCCGAGGUGUGCGGCCUGGUCACCCCACUCAGUCCUCUACCUGGCAGGGCCACCCAUCACCUACAGUUUAAGGUCAGGAGACUGCCCCAGAGGUCACUUCUGGGCCAGCAUGCUCUGCCCCUCGCCACUGGGCACACAGCCCCAUAUGGCCUUGCUGCUAGGACCCUCUGUCUGACCAGACUCCACACCCCUUGGUUCAGGUUCCACUGAGCAAGCACCUGUCGCUCUGGGCAGUUCCUUUGGGCCAGCUCCUCAGGCUUGGAUCCAUCAGCUGGGGCUGGGGGCUGGCGGAAUGGAAGGCCCCCUGCCAGGGGCCGUGGGGAGGUGGCAGGUGUGAUAAGGUAAGUAAACCAUUUUUGUGAGUUUGUGAGCCACUCUAGCAAAUGAUGGAACCCGAGGAGGGGGUCAUGGGAACCUCUGAUGUUCAGCCAGGAGGUCCAAAGCACAAGUGACAACCUGGACUUGUGACCGGCAUCUGAAGCGGGGGAGGGGAGGGAGUCUUGUGGGAUAGAGCCCUUAACCUGUGGGGUCUGACGCUAUGCCAGGCAGACAGUGUCAGACCUGGGUUAACUUUGUGGAGGGCCCAGUCAGUGUCCUUGGAGAACAGGAGGGUUUGUGAGGGAGAGCAGCCCCCCAAAUGUGGCACCUGCAGCCGGGGGCAGGGGGCAGAUAUCCUCAGCAGAGAAUGGGCUGGGACCCCUCAAGGUCACCCCCUCCUCACUUUACGGAUGAGGGAGCAGCCCCCACGGGAGGUGGCCCACCCAUGGUCACACAGCCCGUGAUGCCAACCCAGCUCUUCCACCUUCCAUGUGCCAGUGUGAGGCGCACAGGGCAUGCCCCCGUCUCACUCUGAUGGGAUUCCAGCCCCUGCCCAUGCUGCAGGGUGUGCUCGUCUGAAGGGUGGAUAAAAUGGUGUGGGCUGGCCCAGACAACAGCACCAACUCUGAGUGGCCCCAUGGCCCACCUCCUGUGUUCGCGAGUAACCUCCAGAGUGUGGGCAGGGCCUGCAACUGGCUUCUAACCAACAGGACCCUGCAAGGGUGAUGGGCCGUCACUUCAGCAGUAACCAAACGAGAGGGUGUCAGCAGUCUUGCCAGGGGGCGCUCUCCCUUGCCAGCUCUGAAGAAGCUGCCACACGGUGAACGGGCCUCAGGACAGGGCCACGUGGCAGCGAGCCGAGGCCAGCCUCUGGCCGACAGCCAGCAAGGCACCGAAUGCUGCCAACAACCACGUGAGCUCAGCAGCAGGCCCUUCACCAGUGAGGCUUGAGCUGAGAGCACAUCCCCAGCCAAGAGGACAGCAGCAGCCUGAUGAGGCCCUAAGCAGAGGACCCGGCUAAGCCGCGCUCAGAGCCCAGGCCCACAGCAACUGUGAGAGGACAGUGUUCCUUUGGCCGUGAAGUUCGUUGCAAUUCAUUACACAGCAGCAGACAACAAAUACACAGAGGGUCCCUCGCCACGGCCCUGACGACCACUCUGCCGGAAGCAUCCAGAUGCGCCAACCAAGGCCAACAGGGAGAAGGCAGGACAGCGUUUCCACUUCAGGGCGCCUGCCCACUAUGAAAAUGACUCCAUGGACUACGGAGGAGGAUUUCUGAAGUCAUGACCAGGGGAGUGCUCUAGAAACACACCAUUAGCCACCGUCGCCGAUUAACAGGAGUUCGCAGACCCGUUUUGGAGAAUGCCCCGUGAUGAGUCAUCAAAAUCAACUUAUCUUCUCUCCUUGAAAAAGACAAUCACAGCCCUUCUGUUGGCAAAUGCAGCUGCUGCUUAAAGGACCAGUGAUGUGUUUCCUCCCGGAAGUAGGGAGUUCCCUCCCCAAGGAUCCAGGAAGAGGCAGGACCCCCGCUGUCCCGCGGUGGCAUCAACCCCAUCGGUGCACAAACCCAAGCAGGUGUCAGCACCGAGAGCAGCCUCAGGAGCCACUCGAGCAGCCCUCUGGUUUUACUGAUGGAGGGACUGGAGCCCAGGAAGGGUGAGGGGCUUGCCUGAGAUCACACAGCAGACUGGAAGCAUGACGAGGAGAUUCUGGGUCCCAACAGCCAGGCUCCACAGCGCCCACAGUUCCACCAUGAUGUCCACUCCCAGAAACAAACUGUCUAAAUUAACAGGGAUCUGCAAAUGAUCAAGUUCACGCCCCCACCCCCAAAUAUCAACAGGGAAGAUAUCCCCCAGAAUUCCUGCCAGAUAGUCGUGCAGCCUCCACUUGCACACCCUUGAUGACAGGGUGCUCACUCCCCGGAGGCAGUGUGUCCCACCUCUUGUCAGCUCUGCUGAUCCAAACAUUUUUUCUUUCGUGGGCUGAGCAGAAAUCUGCCCUCGGUCUGGCUUCCGUGUUGGAUGUUCCGUGUUCCGUAUGGAGGGUGGCAUAGAACAAGCUGUUCUGUUCUCCACCCAAGACCCCUGGGACUGUCUCUUCUCUCCCCUGGCUGAAGCCCUACGCCCAGCCCCAGCCACUCCUCCUGGGCACAGUGCCACCUCCAGCCCCCUCCGGGCCCAUGGAGGAUGCCCCAGACAUGCAGAGCUGCCGUGAACCGUGUGCCCCCAGCACCCUCCCUCAGGCACCCAUCCCCGAGCCUGGUGGGAACCAUGGUCACUGCUCUCUGCACCCCAUGACCAAGGGGGGCCUAGGGAGAGGGAGGGGCUCAGAAACUGUGGGUGCGCAGUAAGCGUGGGCUGGGUGAGACAGACCUCCUGCCCUUCGGGACCUACACCCCUCGCCUUCUGCCGGCAUCUCAGACCUAGACCUGGACUGAACCACGCCCACAGCAGACCCAAAUCCGAGACCUCUCAACAGUCAGUUACUACCUGCUAGGGCUGCCGAAACUUUUUAUCCAUCCACCAGGAAAAAUCUAUUCCUUACCUAGUGCCACCCACUGGUCCUUCACGCUCAUUCCACCUCCCGCUGAGAAGCAGAAAAACAUCAACACUUCCUGCCUCACAUGACAACCGCAUUGUUAAGAGUGUUUCUCACAAAAUAUCUCAUUUAAUUCCCCAAACAGCCCUGUGAGCUUGUUUCUCUUGAGCCCAUUCUGCAGACGACGCGAC